AACGAACGCUGGCGGCAGGCCUAACACAUGCAAGUCGAGCGAAGCCUUCGGGCUUAGCGGCGGACGGGUGAGUAACGCGUGGGAACGUGCCCUUUGGUACGGAAUAGCCCCGGGAAACUGGGAGUAAUACCGUAUGUGGUCGAGAGGCGAAAGAUUUAUCGCCAAAGGAUCGGCCCGCGUUGGAUUAGGUCGUUGGUGGGGUAAUGGCCUACCAAGCCGACGAUCCAUAGCUGGUUGGAGAGGAUGAGCAGCCACACUGGGACUGAGACACGGCCCAGACUCCUACGGGAGGAAGCAGUGAGGAAUCUUAGACAAUGGGGGAAACCCUGAUCUAGCCAUGCCGCGUGAUCGAUGAAGGCCUUAGGGUUGUAAAGAUCUUUCAGUGGGGAAGAUAAUGACUGUACCCACAGAAGAAGCCCCGGCUAACUCCGUGCCAGCCGCCGCCGUAACAC
rnacentral:rRNA from 1 species